rnacentral:lncRNA from 1 species
UUGACCUUAACCUUGCUUAUUUGAACUUAAUCUUGACUUGUUAUAUCUCACUUAGGGGGUUGGUAAUCAUGUAAUGGAUAAUACAUUCAGAGUUUAACCCGCGUUGUUUUAUCUCUCUUUGUAAACUCUGAAUGGCUUGACUCAUCUUUAGUCUAGUACCACACCUUUAGCCCUAUCCAUGCUUCAUACUACAUGCAUUCUUGUGUCAUUGUCAUCAUGUGCAUUCAUGUGCAAAAACUACGGAGUAUACAGACCGACAUAGCUUUCCUUUAGUUAGGAUUGUAAUUGUAGUUGUUUGGGAUGAUUGACAUUGAGUUCUUGUGGUUAUAUUGAUAUAUUUAUGAGCAUGUGCUGUGAGCGAUCAUGAUUGAGUUCUGUUGAUGCAGUUUGUGAGACGAGAACCGGUUCCACUCCCCCGUUAAAAAAAAAAAAGAGAGAAAAGAACGGGAAAGGAGAAAGAAUGGAACCGGAAAAGUCGAUAAGUCUUUGGUUGUAUUUGAAAAGCAUCUAUAAUACUUAUGAUUUGUU